GACGAACGCUGGCGGCGUGCUUAACACAUGCAAGUCGAACGGAAAGGCCCCUUUUGGGGUCCUCGAGUGGCGAACGGGGGAGUAACACGCGCGUAACCUGCCCUUGACUUCGGGAUAACUUUAGGAAACUGGGGCUAAUACCGGAUAGGAAUCAUUGCUGCAUGGUGGGGGUUGGAAAGCUUGGGCGGUUUUGGAUGGACUCGCGGCUUAUCAGCUUGUUGGUGGGGUAGUGGCUUACCAAGGCUUUGACGAGUAGCCGGACUGGGAGGGCGACCGGCCGCAUUGGGACUGAGAUACGGCCCAGACUCCUACGGGAAGCAGCGGUGGGGAAUAUUGCACAAGGGGCGGAAGCCUGAUGCAGCAACGCCGCGGGCGGGAUAACGGCCUUGGGGUUGUAGACCGAUUUCAGCAGGAGCGAAGCUUGUGGUGACGGUACCUGCAGAAGAAGCACCGGCUAACUACGUG
rnacentral:rRNA from 1 species